rnacentral:rRNA from 1 species
GACGUAGGGCGCGAGCGUUGUCCGGAAUUAUUGGGCGUAAAGGGCUCGUAGGCGGUCUGUCGCGUCGGGAGUGAAAACUCAGGGCUUAACCCUGAGCCUGCUUCCGAUACGGGCAGACUAGAGGUAUGCAGGGGAGAACGGAAUUCCUGGUGUAGCGGUGGAAUGCGCAGAUAUCAGGAGGAACACCGGUGGCGAAGGCGGUUCUCUGGGCAUUACCUGACGCUGAGGAGCGAAAGUGUGGGGAGCGAACAGG